rnacentral:rRNA from 1 species
GGGUCAGUAGGUUGGUCGUGCCACCGGUACGUACUGGUCUCACUGAUUCCUCCUUCCUGAAGAACCGUAAUGCCAUUAAUUUGGUGUUGCGGGGAAACAGGACUGUUACUUUGGAAAAAUUAGAGUGUUUAAAGCAAGCUAACGCUUGAAUACAUUAGCAUGGAAUAAUGAAAUAGGACGAUCGAUCCUAUUUUGUUGGCUUCUAGGAUUGACGUA